UUUCUCUGUUUUUGUUUUCAAUCUCUUAUUUCUAACCGCCGCCUCCUAUGAGGGUUUCUUGAGGACCGUUAGCUUGAAAGGCCAACACCCUAUCACCAAAUCACUCCUAGAUUAGAUAUUUUCCGGUUUUCAUAGAUUUCUUGGUGUUUUAGAAACGCAAUCAGCAUGAAAGAAGAUGGAAAUUUUUAUUUUUUUUCAUUGAUUCAAUCUUUUUUUCCAACAAUCUGGUGGGAAUUUUGUUUACCAAGAAAAAAAAGCAAAUAAAUGUGAAAUGUGGAUGCAGUGGCUCCGCAUGUGGAGUUUUUUUUUUUUACUGUUGGGAUUUCUCUAGAAAGAAUGAUCUUGCAGCUAUCUAUUUUUCUUUCAGGGGUCAAUGCUUUUGAAGGAAUUUGGUUUGUUUUUGGGAAAAAAUAGAAAGCUGAUUUUAAACCUAAGACAGGGCAAAUGAUGUCUUACACUUGAUCUCUGAACUUCAGGUGCAAGGCUACUGUAAUUGCUUCAAGAAAAGGGCAAGAAAUGAAGAAGUAGGCUGAAGGGUUACUUUGUUAAUCUGUUGUGAUGUUCUGAGUUUGAACAGACAGGUUUUAAACUUGUGUAUUUUGGUUUGAUAAAACAACUGCUGUAAACUAAAGAACGAGCCUGGAGAAUUUUUUUAAUUUUGUUCUUCGUACACUGCUAUCUUGCAACUACAGGUGGAAUUAUUUUAAAUUUUUUUAUGGCCACUGAAUGAUUUGUUAAAGAACGUGAUAAUUUUGAAAUCAAUAUAGAAAUUCUUUGAAAGGUUCAUAUCUAUGUUUUAUUUUUUUUUGGGUUAUUGAUGGUAGGUCUCUGUGCCUGGAGUUGAAUGUGAAUUUGCUUGCCCGCCUGCUUGCCGAUGCUGUUUAUAUGAUGCCUUUGUCCAUUUUCAGGCAAGAGAAAUGGGUAAUAAAUCAAAGAAGAAUUAAGUGGCCAGGCGGGAUGUGUUUAAAUGGACAGAAGAACGUAUGGAUGAUGCCUUCAUUGAUGCCCUUAUCCGUCAACAAAGGCUGGGAAACAGGGUUGAUAAUAUGGUGAGGGAAUUGCGUGAAAACAUCGGCAUGCCAUUUGAAAAAGAUCACUUGAAGAAUCGUUUGAAGACCCU